AGACUUAAUCCAAUUAAAUCCAAACUAAUUCUAAUUAAAUCAAAUUCAAUUAGACUUGAUCUCAGCCCAAUUGCUCAAUCAGAUUGAGCCAAUUAGCUAUCCAAUUGCUAAUCGAUCCUCCUGCAACACUUGCAUUAGGUCAAACAUCAAUCACAUUGAUCGUUUAACCUUAGAACGAUUCUCAAUCAUCGAUUAACCAUCUGAUUAGAUUACAACCUCUUAUGUGUGUGACCCUAUAGGUUUGAACCUAAGUCGGUAGCAUAGAAACCAAUUCCUGUACC
rnacentral:lncRNA from 1 species